UUAUUAAGUGCAGUUUAGAGAUAAGUAUGGACAAGGAUCCUGUCAAGCAUGCUAUUUAAACUGUUUUUCUUCUAUCAUAUCAGUCUGCAUCUUCUUCAUUUGGUCAGCUCUUUUUUACCAUUUUAUUUUUGAAAACUGUUUCCAUUUUGCUUUGUUUGAACAAGACUGUUGCCAGUUUAGAGAUGUGAGUUGGCUUCACAUAUUUGGUGUCUGAGAGCUUUAAGAGCUUAUGCUUAAACUGUAUCUAGCAUGUUUUGAAUCUAGCAAAUUUCCUCAUCACACAGUGUUGUCCCACCAUAGAUGUUAAUUGAAUGCUAAAAAGGUCUAUUUCUGAUCUUCCGUAGCUAAAGACGGUGAGGGACUUAACCCACCCACAGGAAACAGAUUGGAAUCACAAAAAAAAGAAAGUGAUGAAGAGAAGACAAAUGCAGAAACUCCCUUAACUACCAAGGCCAAGGAUUAGAGGAGCCAGUAUUUUAGGAUGGUAAAACACCUACCAAAAGAUGUAUUGACAAGGAAGUGCUUGGAAUCACUUCCAUUGUUAUUCUUGUACAGUAUGUAUAUAAAUGUUGUGAUAAAAAACAUUAGAUUUUUCCUUUGUCAAAUAAACAACUGAGAUGGCUAAUGUUCAAAUAAGUAAAGCAGUUGAUGUACCUGAUACAUUAAGUAGCUUAUUCCACACUGAGUUAUUUUCUCGCCUUAACUUUAAUACCAGACCAAGAGAUUGUCCAGAGGACCAGAAAACCUGUUUGAAGGCUCCCUACAUGCUUCUACAACUCUUACAUUCAAGCAAAACUAGAAAGAUAUUUCAUAUGUUGAACUGUUAGCAGUGUAUCAACUGUAAAGAAACAUCCUGUGAAAACUUAAGUACAUUCUACAGCUAUACCAGGUCAAGUUUUUAUUUACAGUCAUUUUGGAGAUUCAGUUGUUGUUAUGAGGAAGUUUGUUUGCAUUAUGUAGAACUAGCUCAUAUUUAGAUUUCUUCUGUAAAAGUUUGGCAAAUACAGAUGCAUCUUUUUCCCGUAAUUCAAA